CGACAACCGAUUGUGCACGCAGUACGAAACGUUCGACUACGCAUAUCGUUCGGUUGGCAAACUGUGCUUCGGCUACGAGGGUAAACAAGCAUAACCAAGUAAACAAGC
rnacentral:lncRNA from 1 species